UCUGCUGAGGGAACCAAAAUCAACCAAGGCAUAAGGGAAGCGUGUUUUUGUACGGACUUGUUUUUGAACGGCAAACAAAGCACCUGUCUUUGCUCAGGAUCAGGCUCUGCUGAUGUCCUCCAGGAAUCGGAUCUGCGUGAUGGUGUGACACGACUGGACCGCCUGGACGUAAACACACAUUUUGCACUGAAGAAAUUGCAGGCACCAAAUAUUCCCAAAAUACCAUCCUUGUGUAAAACAUUGUUCGUCAACCCGGGAUGAAAGACUCACUUGGUGCUUUGGGAGUGUAUGAGGACAUCUGCCUGCAGCUUGGGAAAGUAGCCCGGCUGGUGGCGACCCUGGCCGAUCCUCAUGUCCAGGAGGGUACCUGAUUCAAAGAGCGUGGAGCAUUUCCUGUAGCGACUCCCGGGAGACUCGGCCUGGUCCGUGUCGUAGAGUCGCUCCCUUUCCAGGCGACUGUCAAAGAGCUGUUGCAGUGGCUCGCGGUCAGCCCAGCGAGAG